GAGUUUGAUCUUGGCUCAGAUUGAACGCUGGCGGCAUGCCUUACACAUGCAAGUCGAACGGCAGCGCGGGGCAACCUGGCGGCGAGUGGCGAACGGGUGAGUAAUAUAUCGGAACGUACCCUGGAGUGGGGGAUAACGUAGCGAAAGUUACGCUAAUACCGCAUACGAUCUAAGGAUGAAAGUGGGGGACGCGCAAGCACCUCAUGCUCCUGGAGCGGCCGAUAUCUGAUUAGCUAGUUGGUGGGGUAAAGGCCUACCAAGGCAUCGAUCAGUAGCUGGUCUGAGAGGACGACCAGCCACACUGGAACUGAGACACGGUCCAGACUCCUACGGGAGGCAGCAGUGGGGAAUUUUGGACAAUGGGCGAAAGCCUGAUCCAGCAAUGCCGCGUGAGUGAAGAAGGCC
rnacentral:rRNA from 1 species